rnacentral:rRNA from 1 species
CGCUACGGGAGGCUAAUACAUGCAAGUCGAACGGUAACAGGGUAGCAAUACCGCUGACGAGUGGCGCACGGGUGCGUAACGCGUACACAAUCUGCCUUAUACUGGAGCAUACCCCCAAGAAAUUGGGAUUAAUUCUCCAUAACGUUGCGAGUUGGCAUCAACUUGCAUCUAAAACUCCGGUGGUAUAAGAUGAGUGUGCGUCCGAUUAGGUAGUUGGUGAGGUAACGGCUCACCAAGCCGACGAUCGGUAGCUGGUCUGAGAGGACGAUCAGCCACACGGGCACUGAGACACGGGCCCGACUCCUACGGGAGGCAGCAGUAGGGAAUAUGGGACAAUGGGCGCAAGCCUGAUCCAGCCAUCCCGCGUGAAGGAUUAAGGCCCUCUGGGUUGUAAACUUCUUUUCUCUGGG